UGGGGAAAGCGGGCAAUUGCGGUAAUUGAAUCAAUUACUGAGGAAAGUCCGAACUCCAAAGAACAGUAUGCCGGUUAAUGGCCGGGCAACAAUGGCAAUUCGCCAAAGUUGACGGAAAGUGCAACAGAAAAAAUACCGCCUUUUUCGAAAGGUAAGGGUGAAAUGGUGAGGUAAGAGCUUACCGCACAAUUGGUAACAAUUGUGGCAUUGUAAACCCCAUACGGAGCAAAGCCAAAUAAAAAUACUUUAUCAUCUCGGUGAUAACUAUAUUGUUCGUGUAGAUAGUAUUUGGGUAGGCUGCUUGAGGAUAGUAGCAAUACUAUUCCCAGAUAAAUAAUUGCCUCCUUCCAUUUUUUUUGGAAGAAGACAGAAUUCGGCUUACAGCUUUCUUCACUGU
rnacentral:RNase_P_RNA from 1 species